GUCUGGAAAUCAUAUUUUUGCACAAAUAUUCAUGGCUCUGAACCCUGCCCUGUGCAACUGGGUCCUGGACUUCCUGACGGGCCGCCCCCAGGUGGUGAAGGUAGGAAACAACACCUACGCUGCUCCUCAACACAUGGGCCCCACAAGGGUGUGUGCUAUGCCCUCUCCUGUACUCCCUGUUCACCCAUGACUGCGUGGCCACGCACACCUCCAACUCAAUCAUCAAGUUUGCAGACGACACAACAGUAGUAGACCUGAUUACCAACAAUGACGAGACAGCCUACAGCGAGGAGGUGAGGGCCCUGAUGGAGUGGUGCCAAGAAAAUAACCUCCCCCUCAACGUUAACAAAACAAAGGAGAUGAUCGUGGACUUCAGGAGACAGCAGAGGGAGAACUCCCCUAUCCACAUCGACGGGACCGCAGUGGAGAAGUCACCACGUGGGUAUAACCAAUGAGGAGAUGGCACGUGGGUACCUGCUUCUAUAAACCAAUGAGGAGAUGGGAGAGGCAGGACUCUCAGCGCGAUCUGCGUCAGAAAUAGGUAUGAGUUCUAUUUAGCCCUUCUUGUCGCAGACGCUCGCGAGCAGUGUGGUUGCAAUAAUUGAAUAACAUGGAUUUCUAAGUAUAAUUUGCGACACUCGCGCACGCGACGUGUCUGGUCAGCAUGUUAUUUGAGUCUGCUGCCCUAUAUACAUCGACUUCGAAUCACUGGCCAAUUUAAUAAUGGAACAAUAGUCACUUUGAUAAUGUUUACAGACAGUUUUACUAAUUUCAUAUGUAUAGAAUGUUUUCUACUGCUUUUUAGUCAAUGCCAAUCUAACAUUGCUCGUCCUAAUAUUGAUAUAUUUUAUUAAUUCCAUUAUUUUACUUUCAGACUAGUGUAUUGUUGGGAAUUGUUAGAUACUACUGCACUGUUGGCGCUAGGAACACAAGCAUUUCGCUACACCCGCAAUAACAUCCGCUGAAUAUGUGUAUGUGACCAAUACAAUUCGAUUUGACUUGAUUUUCUAAUGCAUCACGUGGGGAUGAUUUCUGUAUUUUGAAAGUGCUCUGUAGGGUGUAUCCACUUGAUGGCGCCAGAACACCUGAAACCAGAGUAAACCUACAGUAUCAAUCAGACCCAGGAUAGUUUAUUAGUUUAGUCAGUGCCAGUGGAACAUGUAAUACACUUGAUAGGUUUUUAAAUGCAGAUGGAUGGUGAUGUGUAGUCUUAUUGGCCUAUUCACAACUUAACUGUGAGCACAAACAGGCCUUAAGAAUGCACAUAUUAG
ensembl:lncRNA